AUUGAACGCUGGCGGCAGGCUUAACACAUGCAAGUCGAGCGGAGAUGAGGUGCUUGCACCUUAUCUUAGCGGCGGACGGGUGAGUAAUGCUUAGGAAUCUGCGUAUUAGUGGGGGACAACAUUCCGAAAGGAAUGCUAAUACCGCAUACGCCCUACGGGGGAAAGCAGGGGAUCUUCGGACCUUGCGCUAAUAGAUGAGACUAAGUCGGAUUAGCUAGUUGGUGGGGUAAAGGCCUACCAAGGCGACGAUCUGUAGCGGGUCUGAGAGGAUGAUCCGCCACACUGGGACUGAGACACGGCCCAGACUCCUACGGGAGGCAGCAGUGGGGAAUAUUGGACAAUGGGCGGAAGCCUGAUCCAGCCAUGCCGCGUGUGUGAAGAAGGCCUUUUGGUUGUAAAGCACUUUAAGCGAGGAGGAGGCUACCUGGAUUAAUACUCUAGGAUAGUGGACGUUACUCGCAGAAUAAGCACCGGCUAACUCUGUGCCAGCAGCCGCCGUAACAC
rnacentral:rRNA from 1 species